AUCUUUGCGCUUGGGGCAAUGACGCAGCUAAUGAGGUUCUAACCGAGGCGCGUCUAUUGCUGGUUGAAAACUAUUUCCAAACCCCCUCCUGGGCUUGGGUUCUGCCUAAGCCCUCGAGAAUUUCUGGAAGGGCUCCCUUUUACUAGGGUAAAGCC
rnacentral:snRNA from 1 species